AACGAACGCUGGCGGCAGGCUUAACACAUGCAAGGCGAACGCCCCGCAAGGGGAGUGGCAGACGGGUGAGUAACGCGUGGGAAUCUACCCAGUUCUUCGGAACAACAGUUGGAAAGGACUGCUAAUACCGCAUACGCCCUACGGGGGAAAGAUGUAGCGGAAUGGGAUGAGCCCGCGUUGGAUUAGCUAGUUGGUGAGGUAAUGGCUCACCAAGGCGACGAUCCAUAGCUGGUCUGAGAGGAUGAUCAGCGACACUGGGACUGAGACACGGCCCAGACUCCUACGGGAGGCAGCAGUGGGGAAUAUUGGACAAUGGGCGCAAGCCUGAUCCAGCCAUGCCGCGUGAGUGAUGAAGGCCUUAGGGUUGUAAAGCUCUUUCAGUGGGGAAGAUAAUGACGGUACCCACAGAAGAAGCCCCGGCUAACUUCGUGCCAGCCGCCGCUGUAAGAC
rnacentral:rRNA from 1 species